UGGGGAAUAUUGCGCAAUGGGGGAAACCCUGACGCAGCAACGCCGCGUGAGUGAAGAAGGCCUUCGGGUUGUAAAGCUCUUUAAUCAGGGACGAAAAACGACGGUACCUGAAGAAUAAGCUCCGGCUAACUACGUGCCAGCAGCCGCGGUAAUACGUAGGGAGCAAGCGUUAUCCGGAUUUACUGGGUGUAAAGGGCGCGCAGGCGGGAUCGCAAGUUGGGAGUGAAAUCUCAGGGCUUAACCCUGAAACUGCUUUCAAAACUGCGGUUCUUGAGUGAUGGAGAGGCAGGCGGAAUUCCGUGUGUAGCGGUGAAAUGCGUAGAUAUACGGAGGAACACCAGUGGCGAAGGCGGUCUGCUGGACAUUAACUGACGCUGAGGCGCGAAAGCGUGGGGAGCAAACAGG
rnacentral:rRNA from 1 species